GUUCAUCGUUUGGGGCAGUCGAGGAAGGCUUCUCGAAGGAGGUGGCAUGUGAGCUGAGGAUGAGAGGUGCUGGCCGGGGAGUGGCAGAGAAGCUUUGGACCCCCGGGCCCGAGGGGCAGGGUCUCCAGGCAAUGGCUGGGUGCGUGGCGGGCCCACGGGGCACACGUGUCCUUCAUUUCACGGGCGUCUUCCGGGGGCCACCCCGCCUCAGAGCGGGCCACCAGCACUCAUCACUCUAGCUUGCCUGCCUUUGGCUCCAAGGGACAGCGUUUUAAUCCCUCUCCUCCAGCUCUUCUGGGUCCAAGCCUGUCCUCACUCAGACAGACCCCCUGGCCGCCCGCCCUGCACCUCCUUCCCUGUUGGCGCCCUUAUCCUCGAGGGCCCAGACAGGCAGCACACGAGUGCCUGUUUCUCAGGUGGGUAAACUGAGUCUGUGCCUUCCCUGAUGCACCCAGCCGGGGGCAGCCAGCAGGGACCACGGAAGCUGCUUCUAGCUGGGGCCCUUCCAUCCCUCUGACCCGACGUCCAGGAGCGGCAGGCUGCAUCUUGCAAACCCGAGCUUCAGAAACUCGAAAUCAAGGAGGAUCUGGCUGGGGACUCUUGGGGGCUCCGUGGGCUGUUUUGUAACGACAGAGGGAGCGCCUCGCCCACACUCCGGAUCUGCCGCGCCCGCUGCCGCCCACGGACCCUGCGGAAUUAGCUCGCAAAUGGGAGGAACAGGUGACGGGCGCCUGCUCUGGGGACGUCAGCCCUCCCAUCUCACACCCGAGGCACCGAGCUGGCUGCGUCCCCGCUUUGCAAGAAAAUGACUUCCCUGCCAGAUGGGAGCAGGACGCCCACCUCCCCGCAGCUCCGGCGACAGAGCCCGCAGGAUCCCACACGGCAUGCAUUCCUGAAGCGGGGACGACAAGUGCUCCCGGUGCCCCAGUAAUUAACAGAAGGCCAUCGUCGCUGCCGUGCACCUGCUUCAGGAUGUUUUCUUCCCAUGUGCUGAAUAGAGAGGAACAUUCCAGAAUGUGGAACUUGGGGCACCUGGACCUCGAGUCUGUGGAGAGACAUUCCAGGGACGUAGCUUUCCACGUGGCAGAUCCGCAUAAUUCUGGACCGAUUCGGGGAGAAAUCUCCCAGAAGUGUUUUUCUCACUGCCCUGCCUUAAAAAACAAAAUCAAAACCCAAGCAAAACUUUACGACUUCCCAUAAACGGAGUCUCGAAAUGUCCUGUGUCUACGGGAGGCUCCACGUUGCCUCCACUCUCCUCACUGCUGAGUCGGAUCCCGAUGCGUGAAAGGUCAUAGUUCGUCGAUUUCACUUGAAGGGCAGUCUCCAAGGAACAUUCCAGUUCUGCCCAUUUUGGAUGAGUGUAUACACGCCCGGGAGGAACCUGCAGCUUAUAGGGCACCUGCGUGCCAGCCCGUUUGGAAACUGCCCUGAAGGGCGAGGCCCACGUCCUCUGCAGAGCUCCACACUCUCCCUCCCCCCUCUCAGCUCUGACGACCCUAGCAGGUACCGCACCUUGUGCGGGAGAGCUUGACAAACACCUCAGCUGCUUCUUGGUACCUGAAGGUCACGUUCGUCAGCGUUAGCCACUGCCGCCUGACGGGGACGUCAUAACCCCGAGCUUCCUGCCACGCGGCUGCUCUGCCCGCCUCUGUCUGUGUGGUUCUAGUUCUUUGAGAGGAGCGGCGCUGGACCCCAUCUGAAGCACGCACACCGUGGCGGCACCUUCGUGCGCUCACGGGUUUGCUCAUCCAGCAAACACUCACCGAGAGCCUGGCUGUGUCCAGGAUGGCCCAGGUCAUGGAUGCAAGUUAGGUCCAGCCACGGCCCUGACUUGGGGGGCACGCUGCCCAUGUGGGGAUGGGGUUGCCCUCCACUCGCUCCCCACCCACACCACAGACAGGCGCGAACCGUGUGGAACGUUCCACACCCGUUUACCAGGUGACUACCAUCCCGGCUCUCUGUGACUGCCGGGGCCAGAACUGGAAAUGCCCGGGGAAAUUUUGUGUCAGUUGGGCACACUGCUCGCCAAGCCCUGGGACCCAGAGCUGUGAGGGGCUGCACCUGGGUCCAAGCCCACCAGCUCUGCCUGCCUGGCGCAUGGCUCAGACCUGCCCUUGCGGCCCCUCGGUGCUGCCGCUCGCUCAGGACCAGAGAGAAAGGAACUGGCCCCAGGGGUCCAGAUGGAUCCUGGGGGCUGAAUGAAGAGCGAAGGAUGAUGCUGUUUGCCAGGACCGACACUGGAUGAGGGCCGAGGUCACAGGCCGCUGCUCAAGGACAAGCCUCUGUGGGAACAUCUCACGAGAUGCAGCUUCCACAGGGAGCCUCCCUGGCAGCCCGCGGAGCAGGCUGGGUCCCUGUAUGGAUUCCCAGUCUCUGCACUUGUCCUAUGUGACCCUUCAUUGCUCUCCAGAUGGACCACGGAGGCCGGAGAGGCCAGUAACCUGCCCAAAGCUGAGCAUCCCGGGAAGCCCAAGCUCCAGGCAUCAGGCAGUGUGCGUCAGGGUUCCCACUGCCCGCUUCGCCUCUGGGGACUCGGGCCGGCCCGGCCCGCCCCGUGGGCCACAAUGGCAGGGCCCACAAUGCCCGCACAGGGGCCGGCUGGUCGCGCAUACAAAGCACCCGGCCCGGCCAUUAUCAUUCCGGAGCCGAAGUCCACCCCAGCCCGCACCUCAUCGGUCAUUCAGCAGCCCUUAAUGACUUGUCAGUUCCUUGCCCUGCCAUUUUCUGUCUAAUUAAUUCUUUUAUUGUGCACCGGAUAAAGAAAG